CAGAUUGUAGCUUAUAAAAAGUUUAUUAUUUACAUUAAUAUGAAAAAUAUUAUUAUUUCUUUCUGA
rnacentral:tRNA from 1 species